rnacentral:rRNA from 1 species
UACAGGGGGUGCAAACGUUGCUCGGAAUUAUUGUGCGUAAAGCGCACGUAGGCGGUUUGUUAUGUCGGAUGUGAAAGCCCUUGGCUCAACUGAGGAAGUGCAUCCGAAACUGGCAAGCUAGAGUAUGUAAGAGGGUCGCGGAAUUCCCGGUGUAGAGGUGAAAUUCGUAGAUAUCGGGAGGAACACCGGUGGCGAAGGCGGAUCUCUGGGCCUUACCUGACGCUGAGGCGCGAAAGCUAGGGGAGCGAACAGG